CAGCUAAAGUGAUUUCCAGAGCUCAACUCUACUGAUCUCACCAAAGAGCCUGCCUCUGAGUACAGCAAAGCUUUGUAAUUUAUGCCAGAGGAUCUGAAGGUGAUGGUAACCUUGCCCUACCAACAAGGCAGCAUAAGAGCAAAGAGAAGGACUACUCCAUUUGAACCACAACAUCUUUGAGCAAAAACAUGGAAUACCCAAAUAUCGGGGCAAAUUAUGGAAGAACACCUUCACUGCAUGGAUCCAUUCAUAAAUCCUCUUCAUUUACUGGGAGUUAGGGGCACAGGAUCCCUGUGAAAAUGAAAAAUCCAAAUAAAG
rnacentral:lncRNA from 11 species